CCAGCUCUGGCUACUAUAGUGACCAGAUCCACAGGACAUCUUAAAGCUAUUACAGAUUGCAAACCUGACGAACACCAAAGCCUUUUUACCUCACAUAUCAUCCCAUAUCAUAUCAUAUGAACAUUAUUGUACACAUUCCUGUUCAUUAUAUCUCAGUAAAGAUUGCAUCAGUUCAGCAAA